UACGUAGGGACCAAGCGUUGUUCGGAUUUACUGGGCGUAAAGGGGGCGUAGGCGGCAAUUCAAGUCAUCUGUGAAAUCUCCGGGCUUAACUCGGAACGGUCAGAUGAUACUGCUUUGCUAGAGUACAGAAGGGCAAUCGGGAAUUCUUGGUGUAGCGGUGAAAUGCGUAGAUAUCAAGAGGAACACCUGAGGUGAAGACGGGUUGCUGGGCUGAUACUGACGCUGAUGCUCGAAAGCUAGGGGAGCAAACGGG
rnacentral:rRNA from 1 species